rnacentral:rRNA from 1 species
UACAGAGGUCUCAAGCGUUGUUCGGAUUCAUUGGGCGUAAAGGGUGCGUAGGUGGCAUGGUAAGUCGGAUGUGAAAUCCCGGGGCUCAACCCCGGAACUGCCUUUGAUACUGGGGAUCUCGAGUCCGGGAGAGGUGAGUGGAACUCCGAGUGUAGAGGUGAAAUUCGUAGAUAUUCGGAAGAACACCAGUGGCGAAGGCGGCUCACUGGCCCGGUACUGACGCUGAGGUGCGAAAGCGUGGGGAGCAAACAGG